CUUGGCUAGCUGCAUUUACCGCCUUUGCAGCAUCUUCAGGAGCGCUUUUGUGUCUGUCUUGUCUUCUGUGUUUUACUGUUAUGUCCAUGCCAGGGCAGAAGUAAAUUUUCAGGGGUGAAGAUGCUGUUUACCUUGACCAGCUAAGACUACAGAUUGUAGAUGAAGUCGAGAAAAGUGAAAAGAAUCCUGAUUACAAAGCUGAUGCUCACAACUUUGGCCUUGCAAUGCAAAGAGAUCAUCAAUGAUGACCUACCAGUAGGUCAGAUCCUGGAUUGCUGGCCUACUCUGAAAUCCCAGUCCCAGAUCUGUGCAGAAUUCCACAGGAUUACAAACCUCCACCUGAAGAACCACUUUUAUGCUGUUGGACCAACAUGCUCCCCGGCUCCAGAGCUUAUUCAGAAAGAAAGCUGUUUGCACAGGGAACGUGUCUGAUGUCCUGUCUCAGCUCUUCAGAAGCUAUAAUCUCCAGGAACAAGCUGAUAUCCAUGCCCAAAGUGCUGGUGUGCUUCAUGCCCUCUCUGCCUAUUUGUACGAAGACACCUCUACCUUCAUCAAAACAUGGGAUAUGAUGCAUUCUGAUAGACCAGAUAUUAGUGAAGUGCCACUUGGACUCCUCCUGAUCAGAGCCAAUUCCAGCGAUGCAACAUUCUUCUGCCCUGAGAAGACUGCAG